rnacentral:rRNA from 1 species
UACGAAGGGUGCAAGCGUUACUCGGAAUUACUGGGCGUAAAGCGUGCGUAGGUGGUUUUUUAAGUCCGUUGUGAAAGCCCUGGGCUCAACCUGGGAAUGGCAGUGGAUACUGGAAAGCUAGAGUGCGGUAGAGGGUAGUGGAAUUCCCGGUGUAGCAGUGAAAUGCGUAGAGAUCGGGAGGAACACCAGUGGCAAAGGCGGCUACCUGGACCAGCACUGACACUGAGGCACGAAAGCGUGGGGAGCAAACAGG